rnacentral:rRNA from 1 species
UACGUAGGGGGCAAGCGUUGUCCGGAAUCAUUGGGCGUAAAGCGCGUGUAGGCGGCUCGAUAAGUCUGCUGUGAAAGUUCAGGGCUCAACCCUGAAAUGCCGGUGGAAACUGUCGGGCUAGAGUCCGGAAGAGGCGAGUGGAAUUCCUGGUGUAGCGGUGAAAUGCGCAGAUAUCAGGAGGAACACCGAUGGCGAAGGCAGGUCUCUGGGCCGAUACUGACGCUGAGGAGCGAAAGCGUGGGGAGCGAACAGG